rnacentral:rRNA from 1 species
GCUUGUCUCAAAGAUUAAGCCAUGCAUGUCUUAGUGUAAAUAACUCUUAUGAAACUGCGAAUGGCUCAUUAAAUCAGUUAUCGUUUAUUUGAUGAUCUCUUACUACUUGGAUAACCGUAGUAAUUCUAGAGCUAAUACAUGCACAAAAUCCCGACUUACGAAGGGAUGUAUUUAUUAGAUUUAAAGCCGACAUCUUUUGGUGAUUCAUAAUAACUCGCGGAUCGGUUUACCGAUGCAUCAUUCAAGUUUCUGCCCUAUCAGCUUUGGAUGGUAGGGUAUUGGCCUACCAUGGCUUUAACGGGUAACGGAGAAUUAGGGUUCGAUUCCGGAGAGGGAGCCUGAGAAAUGGCUACCACAUCCAAGGAAGGCAGCAGG